GGGGAGCAUAGUGCAAGGUGGAGAUCCAGGUAAAGAUGGAUCGGACAGGAGACAGAAGACUCGAAAGGAUGAGAGGCGACGUCGCAGAGUGAAGUUCCUAUUGUCAUAGGAGACUUCCCAGAGGAGGUUUCUUAUCAGAGUGGACAUGGCCCAUGAUGGAGGUGGGGUCGAGCGACCUAGUUCGACUCCCAUAUUUGCCAAUCCAUGAGACAGCAGAUGUGCCCUUGGGUAAGGGGGUGAGAU
rnacentral:lncRNA from 1 species